UUCUUGAUUGUCUACCCUAAACAAGAAAGAAUAUAAAUUCUCUGAAGAGCUACUAGGGGGAUUUUUUUGCCCUUACUCUACUACAGAAAAGGUGAAGGCAUUGCCAUUAUCUUUCUAUGUGGCUGAAAUCACAAUCAGUAUGAAGGUCUUUGCAUACACUGUAUAUGGAGAUUGAGCACCUUGAUCAGUAUUGUGAAUUCCUCUCCUAGAACAGUGCAUGUAACGUCAUUCUUAUCAUUCUUCUGGAAACCAGGACUCUCAAUUCCAUCUCUAACUAGCUCAAGCAAAGUAGAAAGUGUCAUUAACUUCCGUGGAUCUGGACCCAUGCUUAAAGAAGUUACUCAGAGGUAGAAUCUACUUACUCUUCUGAAGCAGCAUGAUGGUGUCAAGUCUAUAUCUUUUGGUUAUCAAGACAGA